AAAUCGGGGCGCAUAAGCAUUCAACUAUUAAUGAAAAAGAAGGCCCACACAAAAAAUGAACACUACUUAGCAGCUAAACGCAGUCGUUUACUCUCCUAUCAGAAAGAAACAAGUUGGAGUCACAUCACUGAGCUACUCAACUGCCCGGAAAACACAGCCGGAAUUCCUCGUCGGCCGCUGCCACAAACACUGAGAAAUUCCGCCUCAAGGCUUUCCAGCACGAUUUGCGGCCGCGAUAGCCGCCACGGAAAAUUCACAACAUUGCUGAUAACACCGCUACCUCUACAACACUAUUACAUAGAAAUUAAGAAGAAUCUAGUGAGGAAUAAUGAAUCGAAAAUUUGGAGGUGGAAAGCAACCAACUGGGACUCCUUCACUACCUUUGUCUUGUGUUGUUGUUAUCUGUUCUCUUCUUGCUGGUGCCUCUAUUGUUCACAAUAUCUAUAAACCUAACCUUGCAUUGCCUCCAGUUGAUGGAAUUGAUGGGACCAAGAAGAAAGUAGAUGAGAAAGAAUGAUGAUCUCCUGGUUAUGAAUUGUUUUUCAAUAUCAUGAAGAUGAGAGACAUUUAGAGGAUUGUUCUUUUGUUCUUCUCAUACGGUUACUUUUUGUUAUCUUGGAUAUUAGAUAUAGAAUGAGAAUCUUAAUUAUUAUUAUUUUUUAGAUUUUGGUUUGAUGUGCAAAGUUGAGAAAGGGUGUGUUUUAUAAACGGGAGUUAUUUACUUCUUGGAUUAAGAGGAUAUGUACUCUCACUAUAAAUUAGUUUUAUACUAACAUUGAAUAAAAAAUUCACGAUUUUGCCUUAUCA